GGGGGGGGGGGGGGGGGGGGGGGGGGGGGGGGGGGCGGGGGGGGGGGGCGGGGCGGGGGGCGCGCGGGGGGGUGACGCGUGGGAAGCUGCCCGUGGGUUCGGGGUAACGCCCCGAAGGGGGUGCUAAUACCGGAUAAUGUCUGCGGACCAAAGAUUUAUCGCCUGUGGAUGGGCCCGCGUUGGAUUAGCUAGUUGGUAGGGUAAAAGCCUACCAAGGCGACGAUCCAUAGCUGGUCUGAGAGGAUGAUCAGCCACACUGGGACUGAGACACGGCCCAGACUCCUACGGGAGGCAGCAGUGGGGAAUAUUGGACAAUGGGCGAAAGCCUGAUCCAGCAAUGCCGCGUGAGUGAUGAAGGCCUUAGGGUUGUAAAGCUCUUUUACCCGGGAUGAUAAUGACAGUACCGGGAGAAUAAGCUCCGGCUAACUCCGUG
rnacentral:rRNA from 1 species